UACAGAGGGUGCAAGCGUUGUUCGGAAUCAUUGGGCGUAAAGGGCGUGUAGGCGGUCUGUUAAGUCAUGUGUGAAAUCCCUCGGCUCAACCGGGGAACGACGCAUGAAACUGACAAGCUAGAGUACCAAAGAGGGGGGUGGAAUUCCCGGUGUAGCGGUGAAAUGCGCAGAUAUCAGGAGGAACACCGGUGGCGAAGGCGCCACUCUGGGCCGGUACUGACGCUGAGGAGCGAAAGCGUGGGGAGCGAACAGG
rnacentral:rRNA from 1 species